rnacentral:rRNA from 1 species
CAGUAGCCGCGGGAAUACAGAGGGUGCGAGCGUUAAUCGGAUUUACUGGGCGUAAAGCGUGCGUAGGCGGCUUCUUAAGUCGGAUGUGAAAUCCCUGAGCUUAACUUAGGAAUUGCAUUCGAUACUGGGAAGCUAGAGUAUGGGAGAGAAUGGUAGAAUUCCAGGUGUAGCGGUGAAAUGCGUAGAGAUCUGGAGGAAUACCGAUGGCGAAGGCAGCCAUCUGGCCUAAUACUGACGCUGAGGUACGAAAGCAUGGGGAGCAAACAGGAUUAGAUACCCGGGUAGUCCCUGUCUCUUAUAC